rnacentral:rRNA from 1 species
UACAGAGGAUGCAAGCGUUAUCCGGAAUGAUUGGGCGUAAAGCGUCUGUAGGUGGCUUUUUAAGUCCGCCGUCAAAUCCCAGGGCUCAACCCUGGACAGGCGGUGGAAACUUCCAAGCUGGAGUACGGUAGGGGCAGAGGGAAUUUCCGGUGGAGCGGUGAAAUGCGUAGAGAUCGGAAAGAACACCAGCGGCGAAAGCGCGCUGCUGGGCCGACACUGACACUGAGAGACGAAAGCUAGGGGAGCGAAUGGG